UGUGUAGGCGGUUCUUUAAGUUUGGUGUGAAAUCUCCCGGCUCAACCGGGAGGGUGCGCCGAAUACUGAGGGACUAGAGUGCGGGAGAGGAAAGUGGAAUUCCUGGUGUAGCGGUGAAAUGCGUAGAUAUCAGGAGGAACACCGGUGGUGUGGACGGCUUUCUGGACCGUAACUGACGCUGAGACACGAAAGCGUGGGUAGCAAACAGGAUUAGAUACCCUGGUAGUCCACGCCCUAAACGAUGCAUAUUUGGUGUGGGUCAUUCAGUUGAUCCGUGCCGGAGCUAACGCGUUAAAUAUGCCGCCUGGGGAGUACAGUCGCAAGGCUGAA
rnacentral:rRNA from 1 species